UAUGGGGGACUCUUGGGAUAGCAUUCUAAAUGUAAUUGAGGAAAAUACGUAAUAAUAAAAAAUAUUAAAAAUAAAUAAAUAAAUAAAUAAAUAAAUAAAUAAAUAAAUAAAUAAAUAAAUAGAAAGAAACUGCACUGUGCAGUUGCCACAAAAGCCCAAAACAGUGUCAAUCUGGUUUCUCUCAAAAAAAUUUUCCAAUCAGUGCUCUAAGCCAUAGUAGCACCUCUUUGAGGCUAGGGAGAAAACAGAAACAUUGUUUCCAUUGUUUCAGGAGCCUUGUAGUUGAGUAUAUUGAUCACAUUUAUAGAUUCCUGUUGAUUUUUGCUGUUUGUUUAAUCUGCGUUGGCUGAAAAGUCUGGAAUUAUUGUACCUUGUGGAGGUGCAUUCUAAGUGCUUUCUGGAAAAUCUCUCAUGAUUGAUUUUGGUGAAGGAGUUUUAAUUUUUAAAUUGCCUUUGACUUUUCCAUUUCUGACUGAACGCCCAGGGGAAAGGGCAGGAUGAUCAAUAUGGGCCCUGAUUCUACAGCCCUCAUGGCUGCCAUGAGGAUUGAUGAAGUACAAAUGUAUAGGCAGCUUUCUUGGGAAAGGCACUCCAUAAGAAAAGACAGCAUUAUUAAUAACACGACUUUGAUCUCUGACUCACAAAAUAAUAGGUUUCCACAAAAAUAAUUUAGUCUUGAUUAUUAAAUGCAUGCUUCUAAUGGGGCCAAAGUAGUGAGAAGUUUGGGACAAGGUAAUCAAAGGAUAAUAAAAGAGAUCAUUGUGGUUCCAACAUGCAAUUGUCUAUUUUUGUCUUUUAAAAAUAUUUUUAUUGAAAAUAUUUUUCAUGCAAUAUAUUUUGAUCAUAUUUUCCCAUUCCCCAAUCCCUCCCAGAUCUUCUCCACUCUGUGGAUCCAACUUUAUUGCCCCCUCC
rnacentral:lncRNA from 1 species